rnacentral:rRNA from 1 species
ACGUACAAGCAGUGGGAGCACAGGUUUACCUGUGUGACUGCGUACCUUUUGUAUAAUGGGUCAGCGACUUAUAUUCUGUAGCAAGGUUAACCGUAUAGGGGAGCCGUAGGGAAACCGAGUCUUAACCGGGCGUUAAGUUGCAGGGUAUAGACCCGAAACCCGGUGAUCUAGCCAUGGGCAGGUUGAAGGUUGGGUAACACUAACUGGAGGACCGAACCGACUAAUGUUGAAAAAUUAGCGGAUGACCUGUGGCUGGGGGUGAAAGGCCAAUCAAACCGGGAGAUAGCUGGUUCUCCCCGAAAGCUAUUUAGGUAGCGCCUCGUGAAUUCAUCUCCGGGGGUAGAGCACUGUUUCGGCUAGGGGGCCAUCCCGGCUUACCAACCCGAUGCAAACUGCGAAUACCGGAGAAUGUUAUCACGGGAGACACACGGCGGGUGCUAACGUCCGUCGUGAAGAGGGAAACAACCCAGACCGCCAGCUAAGGUCCCAAAGUCAUGGUUAAGUGGGAAACGAUGUGGGAAGGCCCAGACAGCCAGGAUGUUGGCUUAGAAGCAGCCAUCAUUUAAAGAAAGCGUAAUAGCUCACUGGUCGAGUCGGCCUGCGCGGAAGAUGUAACGGGGCUAAACCAUGCACCGAAGCUGCGGCAGCGAACGUAUCACCCAAGACAACUUUACGGAGUUGACGAUUGACGGAGCGAAGCGACGUCAAAGCGUUCAUUAAAGUCGAGUUGGCUUAGGGAUACGUUCGUUGGGUAGGGGAGCGUUCUGUAAGCCUGUGAAGGUGUGUCGUGAGGCAUGCUGGAGGUAUCAGAAGUGCGAAUGCUGACAUAAGUAACGAUAAAGCGGGUGAAAAGCCCGCUCGCCGGAAGACCAAGGGUUCCUGUCCAACGUUAAUCGGGGCAGGGUGAGUCGACCCCUAAGGCGAGGCCGAAAGGCGUAGUCGAUGGGAAACGGGUUAAUAUUCCCGUACUUGGUGUUACUGCGAAGGGGGGACGGAGAAGGCUAUGUUGGCCGGGCGACGGUUGUCCCGGUUUAAGCGUGUAGGUGUGUGUUCCAGGUAAAUCCGGUUCACUUUAACACUGAGGCGUGACGACGAGGCACUACGGUGCUGAAGCAACAAAUGCCCUGCUUCCAGGAAAAGCCUCUAAGCAUCAGGUAACACGAAAUCGUACCCCAAACCGACACAGGUGGUCAGGUAGAGAAUACCAAGGCGCUUGAGAGAACUCGGGUGAAGGAACUAGGCAAAAUGGUGCCGUAACUUCGGGAGAAGGCACGCUGACACGUAGGUGAAGUGAUUUACUCAUGGAGCUGAAGUCAGUCGAAGAUACCAGCUGGCUGCAACUGUUUAUUAAAAACACAGCACUGUGCAAACACGAAAGUGGACGUAUACGGUGUGACGCCUGCCCGGUGCCGGAA